AAAUAAAAUAUUUUUUAAAAUUAAUUAGGUCUAGGCUGGGCGUGGGGGUGCAUGCCUUUAAAUCCCAGAGCUUGGGAGGCAGAGGCAGGCGGAUCUCUUCUGUGAGUUUAAGGUCAGCCUGGUCUACAUAGUGAGUUCCAGGACAGCUGGGGCUACAUAGGGAGACCCUGUCUCAAAAAGAUAAAAAAAAAAAAAACCCAAAACCCCCAAAAUUAAUUAGGUGUAAAGGUAUAAGCAGUAGAUAAUAUCUAUUGUUAAAUCUUCAUGGAGCUUUGAGAAUUUUUGAAUUUAAAAUAAAUAAGUAGAACACUUCCUAUAUGAGGCCCCAGGUUUUAUCUCUAGCCCUGAAAAAAAUAAAAGCCAAUGAGAGAAUUCCAGAGUUAAGAAAACUGGGUAGUUGCUGGGGAGAGUUAAGAAAACUGGGUAGUUGCUGGGGAGAGUUAAGCUGCUGCUGCAAAGGUAGCUUUUGGGGUUGUCCUCAUUCUUCUGAAUUGCCAUAUCUGUCACUGCCUCCCUUGCCCAUGCAGUAAGACUUGUUCCUGUCCCACGGAAGGAGAAACACUGAAAGUGGAUUUCCACAAUAGAAAGGCUUCCUGGGCUUCACUGCUCGAGGAGAGUUGAGCAGUCAUCAGAGGACGAGGACGUCCAAACACAAUGCUAACCGCCUGCAGAAUGCUUUCACAAAUACAAAAGUAGAGAAAGUCCUUUGGAUUUGAGUCUCUAUCUCAAAAUUAAUGUAAAUAAUGACUAUAAAAGAUUUAAAACAUACUAUCAUAAGGUAAUCAAGGUGCUUAAAAUAGUCACUGAGUGCAAACUAUGACAGAGCAUUGAGGAAAAUUGAAACCAUUCUUGCUGCUCCUCAGUGUCAAGCAGGAAGAUUUUCCUGAUAAGUGCUACAGCAGGAAGACUAGGUCCAUUGCUGUCUUGAAGCGGUUAGAGUGAGAGUCAUGUGCCUAGAAGGGGUCAGCAAACAGAAUGCUGAAGGAGGCACUGGGGGGAUGUCCUCUGCCUUCAGGUCUUUGGCUCAGUGUGCCCUGCAGGCUCGUUCCAUUCAUCCCAAUUAUAGUAAGGGUUUUUAUUUUCAAUUUUUUCUUAGUUGAUGCCUUUUUUUUUUUUUUUUGGUUUUUUUGAGACAGGAUCUCCCUGUAGCCCCAGCUGUCCU
rnacentral:lncRNA from 1 species